GACGAACGCUGGCGGCGUGCUUAACACAUGCAAGUCGAACGGCAGCACGGGGGCAACCCUGGGUGGCGAGUGGCGAACGGGUGAGUAAUACAUCGGAACGUGCCCUGUAGUGGGGGAUAGCUCGGCGAAAGCCGGAUUAAUACCGCAUACGACCUACGGGUGAAAGCGGGGGAUCGCAAGACCUCGCGCUACAGGAGCGGCCGACGUCAGAUUAGGUUGUUGGUGGGGUAAAGGCCUACCAAGCCGACGAUCUGUAGCUGGUCUGAGAGGACGACCAGCCACACUGGGGACUGAGACACGGUCCAGACUCCUACGGGAGGCAGCAGGU
rnacentral:rRNA from 1 species